rnacentral:rRNA from 1 species
GAUGAACGCUGGCGGCGUGCCUAAUACAUGCAAGUCGAGCGAACGGACGAGAAGCUUGCUUCUCUGAUGUUAGCGGCGGACGGGUGAGUAACACGUGGAUAACCUACCUAUAAGACUGGGAUAACUUCGGGAAACCGGAGCUAAUACCGGAUAAUAUUUUGAACCGCAUGGUUCAAAAGUGAAAGACGGCCUUGCUGUCACUUAUAGAUGGAUCCGCGCUGCAUUAGCUAGUUGGUAAGGUAACGGCUUACCAAGGCAACGAUGCAUAGCCGACCUGAGAGGGUGAUCGGCCACACUGGAACUGAGACACGGUCCAGACUCCGACGGGAGGCAGCAGUAGGGAAUCUUCCGCAAUGGGCGAAAGCCUGACGGAGCAACGCCGCGUGAGUGAUGAAGGUCUUCGGAUCGUAAAACUCUGUUAGUAGGGAAGAACAUAUGUGUAAGUAACUGUGCACAUCUUGACGGUACCUAAACAGAAAGCCACGGCUAACUACGUG